rnacentral:rRNA from 1 species
GACGAACGCUGGCGGCGUGCUUAACACAUGCAAGUCGAGCGGUAAGGCCCUUUCGGGGUACGACGAGCGGCGAACGGGUGAGUAACACGUGGGUGACCUGCCUUUAGCUCUGGGAUAAGCCUGGGAAACUGGGUCUAAUACCGGAUACGACUCCGCGGUGCAUGCUGUGGGGUGGAAAGCCUUGUGCGGCUGGAGAUGGGCCCG